rfam:Picea glauca, whole genome shotgun sequence.
ACAUGCCUACAUCAUAGCAUUAAUGCACUAGAUCCCAUUAGAAAUAUGCAAUUAAGCGUGCUCAGGCUAGAGUAGCACUGGGAUGGGUGACUGCCUAGGAAGUCCUAGUGUUUUACAUGCC